rnacentral:rRNA from 1 species
AAGGAAUAUUGCUCAAUGGGAGAAAUCCUGAAGCAGCAACGCCGCGUGGAGGAUGAAGGGUCUAUGACUUGUAAACUCCUGUAAAGAAGGAAAAAAUUCCCAUUAGAUGGGAGAUGAUGAUACUUCUGGAGUAAGCCCCGGCUAACUACGUGCCAGCAGCCGCGGUAAUACGUAGGGGGCAAGCGUUGUCCGGAUUUACUGGGUGUAAAGGGUGCUCAGGCGGAUUUGUAAGUCAGAGGUGAAAUCUUACAGCUUAACUGUGAAACUGCCUUUGAUACUGCAAGCCUAGAGUAUGGAAGAGAGUGAUGGAAUAUCUGGUGUAGCAGUGAAAUGCGUAGAUAUCAGAUAGAACACCAAUGGCGAAGGCAGUCACUUGGUCCAUUACUGACGCUAAAGCACGAAAGCGUGGGUAGCAAACA